rnacentral:lncRNA from 1 species
GUGGAGAAAAGUAGAGUGGCAGGGAUAGUGGAAAGUGGUCCAAGAAGAAGUGAGGGAGUUCUGGGUCCUACUCAACGGCUAGUGCUCCCUACCCAAAGCCGUAGAGUGCCAUGAGUUUUUAUACAGGGCACUAGGUGUCCAAUCUUAGGCAAGUAGGGACCGAUCGACUCCGUCAUAUCAUCCCUACAGAUUUUGUGGCCAAUUGUUAUGGGGUUACUAUGAUGAAGGAAAGAACAAGUUCUUCAAUUAUGGCCACCCAGGUCACAUGAUUAGUAAUUAUCCAGCGGACAAGGUUACUUCUGGG